GUAGGUGGCAAGCGUUGUCCGGAAUUAUUGGGCGUAAAGCGCGCGCAGGCGGUUCUUUAAGUCUGAUGUGAAAGCCCACGGCUCAACCGUGGAGGGUCAUUGGAAACCGGAGAACUUGAGUACAGAAGAGGAAAGCGGAAUUCCACGUGUAGCGGUGAAAUGCGUAGAGAUGUGGAGGAACACCAGUGGCGAAGGCGGCUUUCUGGUCUGUAACUGACGCUGAGGCGCGAAAGGGUGGGGAGCAAACAGGAUUAGAUACCCUGGUAGUCCACGCCGUAAACGAUGAGUGCUAAGUGUUAGGGGGUUUCCCGCCCCCCUUAGUGCUGCAGCUAACGCAUUAAGCACUCCACCUGGGGAGUACGGCCGCAAGGCUG
rnacentral:rRNA from 1 species